rnacentral:rRNA from 1 species
AGUGAACGCUGGCGGUAGGCCUAACACAUGCAAGUCGAACGGCAGCACAGUAAGAGCUUGCUCUUACGGGUGGCGAGUGGCAGACGGGUGAGGAAUACAUCGGAAUCUACUUUUUCGUGGGGGAUAACGUAGGGAAACUUACGCUAAUACCGCAUACGACCUACGGGUGAAAGCAGGGGAUCUUCGGACCUUGCGCGAUUGAAUGAGCCGAUGUCGGAUUAGCUAGUUGGCGGGGUAAAGGCCCACCAAGGCGACGAUCCGUAGCUGGUCUGAGAGGAUGAUCAGCCACACUGGAACUGAGACACGGUCCAGACUCCUACGGGAGGCAGCAGUGGGGAAUAUUGGACAAUGGGCGCAAGCCUGAUCCAGCCAUACCGCGUGGGUGAAGAAGGCCUUCGGGUUGUAAAGCCCUUUUGUUGUGAAAGAAAAGCAGCAGGUUAAUACCCCGCUGUUCUGACGGUACCCAAAGAAUAAGCACCGGCUAACUUCGUG